GACGAACCGUGCGAACGUUGUUCGGAUUCACUGGGCUUAAAGGGCGCGUAGGCGGCUUGCCAAGUCAGUGGUGAAAUCUUUCGGCUCAACCGGAAAAUGGCUGCUGAUACUGGCGGGCUGGAGGGAGGUAGGGGCAGAUGGAACUUCCGGUGGAGCGGUGAAAUGCGUAGAUAUUGGGAGGAACACCAGUGGCGAAGGCGGCUCACUGGACCGGUACUGACGCUGAUGCGCGAAA
rnacentral:rRNA from 1 species